rnacentral:rRNA from 1 species
GAUGAACGCUAGCUACAGGCUUAACACAUGCAAGUCGAGGGGAAACGAUAUUGGAAGCUUGCUUCUGAUAGGCGUCGACCGGCGCACGGGUGAGUAACGCGUAUCCAACCUGCCCAUCACUUGGGGAUAACCUUGUGAAAGUAAGACUAAUACCCAAUGACGUCUCUAGAAGACAUCUGAAAGAGAUUAAAGAUUUAUCGGUGAUGGAUGGGGAUGCGUCUGAUUAGCUUGUUGGCGGGGUAACGGCCCACCAAGGCGACGAUCAGUAGGGGUUCUGAGAGGAAGGUCCCCCACAUUGGAACUGAGACACGGUCCAAACUCCUACGGGAGGCAGCAGUGAGGAAUAUUGGUCAAAUGGACGAGAGUCUGAACCAGCCAAGUAGCGUGCAGGAUGACGGCCCUAUGGGUUGUAAACUGCUUUUAUAAGGGAAUAAAGUGAGUCUCGUGAGACUUUUUGCAUGUACCUUAUGAAUAAGGACCGGCUAAUUCCGUGCCAG